UAUAUUCUAUUGUUUACAAUAUUGUUUUAUUUGAUAUUAUGUUAAUGUUAUUUUAUAUUGGUUUAUUUAUUAUAACAAUAUGUAACUUGUAUUUAUAUAGUUGAAAAAUUUACUGUAAAUAAAUAUUGCGCUCAAUUUGAAAAUAAAAGGGUAUUGCUUUUUGACAAAGUGUGUGCUGUUUCAUUUUUUUAAGUACCGGUUCAAGAAACAAUUAAACACCAGAACCAUUUAGAAAGUACCGAGUAGGAACUGGUAUGUAAUAAUAAAGUAUGAUAACAAUUUUAAAUUUUAGUAUGAAAAACGAUCAUGGUAUAGUAUGUUGAAAAAUAUCAUAGUAUGAAAAGAAUUUCAAAUUUUAGUAUGGAAAAAAUAUCAUAGUCUAGUAUGUUGAAAAAAACGUCAUAGGAAAGUAUGAUAUAAUUGUCAUAGUACACUUAUAUUAAAAUUUUGAAUUUAAGUAUUAAAAAUGUAACCGUAUACUUUGAUUAAAAAAAAAUCAUAUUUACGUUUGAAAAAAGUCAUAUAUAGUAUGAUAAAAAUUUCAAAUUUUCAAAAUUUAAAAUUGUCAUGGUAUAGAAUGUUAAAAAUGUCAAAGUAUACUGUGAUUAAGAUUUCAAAUGAUAGUGUGAAAAAAUGUAAUAGUAAAGUGUGAUAUUUUAAUUUUGUCAACAAAUGUCAACAAAUUUAAGUAGAAAAAAGUCAUAAUAUAGUGUGAUAAAUAUUUUACAUUUCAGUAUGAUGAAAAUGUUAUGUAUAGUAUGAUGAAAAAUGUCAUAGUUUAUGUUAUCUUGUUUAUGAUAAAAAUAUCAUAGUGUAGUGUUAUAAAAAUCCAAAAUUUAUGUCUAAAAAAUGAAGAUUGCUGAAUGACUCUUUAAUGUAAAGAGUAAAGUAUGGUAAUAAUUUAAAAAAUUCAGUUCGAAAAAGAAGUCACUGUAUAGUAGGUAAAAAAUGUCAAUUAUAGUAUGAUAAAAAUAUCAAAGUACGAUCAAAAAUUUUAAAUUUUUGUAUGAAAAAAAUGCCAUAGUAUAGUAUGCUAAAAAUAUAUAGUAUGAUAAAAUAACAAUUUUGCAUUUAAUUUUGAAAGUAGAAUAGAAUGAUAAGAUUUUGAAAUUCUAAAAACUUAAAAGAAUAAUAUGACAAAAAUAUAAAAUUUUUAGUGUGAAAAAAAAGUCAGAGUAUAGUUUGUUAAAAACAUCAUAGAAGAGUAUGAUAAUAAAUAUCAUGGUAUAGUAUGAAAAAAUAAAUUAAAAAGUUCGUUGGAAAAAAAACAUCAUAGUGUAUUAUGUGAAGAGUAUCAUAGUAUAGUAUGAUAAAAAUUAAAAAAAUGUCUGAAAGUCAAAUUCAUAGUAUGGUAUGUUAAAAAUGUCAAAGUGUAGUAGGAUAAAAAUGUCACAGAACAUAUCUAUGUAUCAUAGUAUAGUAUGAUAAGGGUUAGGGUUAGAGUUGGAGCUGGGGUUAGGGUUAGGGUUAGGGUUAGAGUUGGAGCUGGGGUUAGGGUUAGGGUUAGGGUUAGAGUUGGAGCUGGGGUUAGGGUUAGGGUUAGAGUUGGAGCUGGGGUUAGGGUUAGGGUUAGGGUAAGAGUUGGAGCUGGGGUUAGGGUUACGGUUAGGGUUAGAGUUGGAGCUGGGGUUAGGGUUAGGUUUAGAGUUAGAGUUGGAGCUGGGGUUAGGGUUGGAGCUAGGGUUAGGGUUAGGGUUAGAGUUGGAGCUGGGGUUAGGGUUAGGGUAAGAGUUGGAGCUGGGGUUAGGGUUAGGGUAAGAGUUGGAGCUGGGGUUAGGGUUAGGGUAAGAGUUGGAGCUGGGGUUAGGGUUAGGGUUAGGGUUAGAGUUGGAGCUGGGGUUAGGGUUAGGGUAAGAGUUGGAGCUGGGGUUAGGGUUAGGGUUAGAGUUGGAGCUGGGGUUAAAGUUAGGGUUAGGGUUAGGGGUUAGGGUUAGGGUUAGGGUUAGGUUUUGGGAAAGAAUCCCGUCUCCCCUAAAUUGCCCUACUUGGGUCGGCGGGGAGCGGGGAAUGCACGGGCCUUCGCCCACUGGACACGCUCCCCCGGUCCCAGAAAGACACUUAUUUGUGUUAUGAAUUAAAUUGUGUUUAAUAAAUUAGUUUUAGUGUGUUGUGUAAUUCAUAUUUGUUAAAUUAAUCCAUUUUUUUAGGUUUUUAACUGUUGUUUACACACAAACACACAAACAAACAAACAUACAUGAACACUACUUGAACUAUGUAUAUGAUGUGUGCACCGCGACGACGUUUCGACCUAGUUUGGUCUUCAUCAGGUCUAUGCACACAUAAUGGCUGCUGGGCCCCAAUUCAUAGGGGUUCACCCAGCAAGCAGCCAAAAGAAAAUGAAUUUUCCCUGUCCUGUUUUCCCUUUUAUACCCUUUGGACAAGAAAUUAACUGAAUUUCUCUCGGAUAUUUAGUUUAAAUUCAACUUUAUUUAGUUUGUAAAAUGUUAACCCUUUAAUCGCUGUUUGGUUUUUAAUUCUGAAUAAUAUAUUUAUAUUUCUCCUGUGGUUAGGCUUAAACUGACCAGUAGGGUUAGGGUUAGGGUCAGUAUUAGGGUUAGGGUUCGAAUCCGAGGGUUAGGGUUAGGGUUAGGGUUAGGGUUAAGGCCACGGUUGGGGCUAGAUGGCGCUAGGGUUAGGGUUAGGGCCCUUUCAUAAUGGUUAGGGUUAGGGCCAGGGCCACGGUUGGGGCUAGAAAUGAAUCCCGUCUCUCCUAUAGUGACCCUACUUGGGUCUGCGGGGAGCGGGAUAGCGCUAGGGUUAGGGUUAGGGCCCUCAUAAUGGUUAGGGUUAGGUUAGGGUUAGGGUUAGGGGUUAGGAUUUAGGGUUAGGGGUUAGGGUUAGGGUUAGGGUUAGGGUUAGGGUUAGGGGUUAGGGUUAGGGUUAGGGUUAGGGUUAGGGGGUUAGGGUUAGGGUUAGGGUUAGGGUUAGGGGUUAGGUUGGGGAAAUAAUCCCGUCUCCCCUAAAUUGCCCUACUUGGGUCGGCGGGGAGCGGGGAAUGCACGGGCCUACGCCCCGUCGGACACGCUCCCCAGGUCCCGAAAGGCUGGCGGCUACUUCCGCCAGCUGAACCGUAUUUGGUCUGGUGUGUAUUAAUUUGUAAUGAAGUUCAUGUAGUCCUAUUUGACUUACUCACACAUACACAAUUCAUACAUGAUCUAUAUUUGAUCUAUGUAUCCCUACAAUGUGCCUGCUGCGUCGACGUUUCGACCUAAUUUGGUCUUCUUCAGGACUGGGCACAUGUAACAGCUAAGGCUGCUGGGCCCCAAUUCAUAGGGGUGGACCAGCCAGCAGCCAGAAAGAAAUGAAAAGCCCUACCAACUUGUCUCCCUUUUAUAUCCCCUCCGCCAAAAAUUAGACUGAAUUUACUUGUAUUUAAGUUAUUUUCUACUCUAUUUAGUUUUUGAAAUCUUAACCCUUUCUGCACCGCUUGUGCUUUAAAUCCAUAUUAAUUAUGUUUAUUCACAUAUUUGUGCUUUUAAUAAACAAAUUAAUAGGUAUUUUUGAUCCCAAUAUUAGGGUUAGGGUCCUGCUUGACCUUUGACCUCUGUGGCCUGCUUGGCCGUUGGUCAUUAAGUUGCCUCUAAUGGUUAGGGUUAGGGCGAGUCCCAGGUUAGGGUUAGAAUCCCAUACUAGGGUUAGGGUUAGGGUUAGAUUCCCAGGUUGGGGUUAGUGCUGGGGUUAGGGUUAGGGGUCAGCGCUAUGGUUAGGGUUAGGGUGAGCGCCAUGGUUAGGGUUAGGGCUAGAUGCCAGGCUGGGGUUAUCAUCAGCAGCCGCCCGGACUGCGAGUCGGCUGAUUUUUUGCAGGUCGGGACCCAGGAAACGCGGCGACAGUGGACGUGGCACUGGCUGGAUAGGUUGGGGAAAUAAUCCCGUCUCCCCUAAAUUGCCCUACUUGGGUCGGCGGGGAGCGGGGAAUGCACGGGCCUACGCCCCGUCGGACACGCUCCCCAGGUCCCGAAAGGCUGGCGGCUACUUCCGCCAGCUGAACCGUAUUUGGUCUGGUGUGUAUUAAUUUGUAAUGAAGUUCAUGUAGUCCUAUUUGACUUACUCACACAUACACAAUUCAUACAUGAUCUAUAUUUGAUCUAUGUAUCCCUACAAUGUGCCUGCUGCGUCGACGUUUCGACCUAAUUUGGUCUUCUUCAGGACUGGGCACAUGUAACAGCUAAGGCUGCUGGGCCCCAAUUCAUAGGGGUGGACCAGCCAGCAGCCAGAAAGAAAUGAAAAGCCCUACCAACUUGUCUCCCUUUUAUAUCCCCUCCGCCAAAAAUUAGACUGAAUUUACUUGUAUUUAAGUUAUUUUCUACUCUAUUUAGUUUUUGAAAUCUUAACCCUUUCUGCACCGCUUGUGCUUUAAAUCCAUAUUAAUUAUGUUUAUUCACAUAUUUGUGCUUUUAAUAAACAAAUUAAUAGGUAUUUUUGAUCCCAAUAUUAGGGUUAGGGUCCUGCUUGACCUUUGACCU